rnacentral:sRNA from 1 species
UGAACAAUUUGGCCUAGAUAGGUGUAUU